GGCACAAACUUGAAGUAGAGUAGUUUAUCAGGAUCAGAUGAUCCUUCUAAUCUGUUCUACUUCGAAUUUGGGCCC
rfam:Haemonchus contortus, ISE/inbred ISE, WGS project CAVP01000000 data, contig: Hcontortus_47876